rnacentral:lncRNA from 1 species
GCCCCACUUCCUGCGAUGGAUACCGCGCGAUUCUUUCAUUCUCUGGCAAGUCGCGACAACGGACACCGCUCCGCUCCCCUUGGCAGACUCCACAUGGCACGCCCCGGUGAUAGCCACGGGUCCACUCCACUACUCUUCGCAACAAACCCCUGGGCAGUCCACUGCCAGACAGUUACAAACAUCGCUGUCAGUCUGUUGCUCCCUUCGCCUAUAAAAG